UACGAAGGGGGCUAGCGUUGUUCGGAAUUACUGGGCGUAAAGGGCGCGUAGGCGGCCUGGCAAGUGACGGGUGAAAUCCCUCGGCUUAACCGAGGAACUGCCUGUCAGACUGCUGGGCUUGAGACCGGGAGAGGUGAGUGGAAUUCCCAGUGUAGCGGUGAAAUGCGUAGAUAUUGGGAGGAACACCAGUGGCGAAGGCGGCUCACUGGACCGGUACUGACGCUGAUGCGCGAAAGCGUGGGGAGCAAACAGG
rnacentral:rRNA from 1 species